rnacentral:lncRNA from 1 species
UGGGGCAUGAAGGUAGUGCUCUAAAGAUUAAAGUAGACCUAAUCUCAUUAGUCAUAACAUUACAUUAUUAUUUAUUUUUCCCAAGCUGUUAUUAUUAUUUUUUCAUUCUUGAGGAGAAUACAUCUAUCAUCUAUGUAAUGUGUGUCUCUUCGGCGUUACCUGAUAUCUCCAGAAAAGGCAGGAAUAUGCCACCAGUAUAUGAAAAAUUAAGAAAUUCAUCAGAAGGGUGCGGUAAAAAAUAUUUACACUUUGUUUUUGCUAAAUAAAUCAAGGGUUUUGUAAAUGCGGUAAAAUUGUUCGGAUCAAAUACUAAAAAUAUACAAAAAAUAAAAUUGAUAAGUGUCUUAAAAGUCAAGAAAAUGCCAUCUGAACUUGACCAACGAAUUUUGGUUAGUACACUUUUGAACGCUGACAGGAAACCAACGAAGUACAUGUUUUUACCUUGGGUCCUGACCAGCUACCCG